CCCUGAGCAGUCACAUAUCAGACAGAUUCUUGGCAUUGUCAGAAGAGCGGUGAAUUGAAGUACCCAAACUUUCACAAAGUGGUUGACCAUGGCGCAGGAGUUUGAGCUAUCUGAUUACGAGAACAUACAGCAUGAUCUUCAGAGGACUGAAAAAUACUGUGGUGGCAGUGAGCAGUCAGAAAGGAGACUUUUCAGAAUUGGUAUUCUAACUUUAGCAGUGUUGUGUAUCCUACAAGCCACUCUCAACCUCUCCCUGGGCCUCGCCUUUUAUUCCAAAGAAGACACAGAUCUGAUUCCCUUCCGCAGCUCCAUGAUAGCAGACGUGUGCCAGAUUAACCAAACUCAACUGCAUUCAAAGAACAAGUUAUAUUCCUGCUACAAGAAACUGCUGGGAGAACUUCUUAGAGAGAAGGAUGCCCCGGACACAGAGACAUUCACAUCAGGCGACGGAUUCUGAACUGACUAUAUACACAACUACAGCUGGGAAUGACUAUGACUAUGGGUCACGAACCUUCAAUUAGAGAUGAUGUCCAGUGCAGACCACAGAAGUCUUAGUAUAGACCUCAGUGGACCCUCUUAUAUGGAUAAAAAACCUUGGGACAGAAUCAUUACUAUACAAAUGCAGUUUAAAUAAUUAGCUUGGAUUAAUUAAAUAGGCUUUGAUAGCUCAUAGCUCAUUUCUUUUAAAGAAAAGCACUGCAACUAUGCCUUAUAACUUAUUUGCAGUUCUGAAGUUAUUAUUUGCAAGAACACAAUACUGUUUUAGGCUAUAGUCUUACUAUAAUUUCAUAUGCAGUUAGUCCUUUCCUAUGCAGUAACUAUAUUGUUGUGUAUUUGAAUCAUAUAUGGCAUUGAAACAGCUGUACUUUAUUUUUAGAAAUGUAAUCUAAUCAAGAACGUGAUAACUAGCAGUUAAAACCACACUAUGUAAAUGUAAACUACAAUGUUAAUAAACAUAUGUUUU